ACGUGGAUUCGACGAGGUUACUUUGAAAAAAUUAGAGUGUUCAAAGCAAGCUAAAGCUCUGAAUACAUUAGCAUGGAAUAACGCGAGAGGACUCGGUCCUUAUUUUGUUGGUCUUCAAGGAUGGAGUAAUGAUUAAGAGGGACAGUUGGGGGCA
rnacentral:rRNA from 12 species